rnacentral:rRNA from 1 species
AACGAACGCUGGCGGCGUGCCUAACACAUGCAAGUCGAACGAGACCUUCGGGUCUAGUGGCGCACGGGUGCGUAACGCGUGGGAACCUGCCCUUAGGUUCGGAAUAACUCCCCGAAAGGGGUGCUAAUACCGGAUAAUGUCUUCGGACCAAAGAUUUAUCGCCUUUGGAUGGGCCCGCGUUGGAUUAGCUAGUUGGUAGGGUAAAAGCCUACCAAGGCGACGAUCCAUAGCUGGUCUGAGAGGAUGAUCAGCCACACUGGGACUGAGACACGGCCCAGACUCCUACGGGAGGCAGCAGUGGGGAAUAUUGGACAAUGGGCGAAGGCCUGAUCCAGCAAUGCCGCGUGAGUGAUGAAGGCCUUAGGGUUGUAAAGCUCUUUUACCCGGGAUGAUAAUGACAGUACCGGGAGAAUAAGCUCCGGCUAACUCCGUG